UGGGGAAUAUUGGACAAUGGGCGCAAGCCUGAUCCAGCCAUGCCGCGUGAGUGAUGAAGGCCUUAGGGUUGUAAAGCUCUUUUAGCAGGGAAGAUAAUGACGGUACCUGCAGAAAAAGCCCCGGCUAACUUCGUGCCAGCAGCCGCGGUAAUACGAAGGGGGCUAGCGUUGCUCGGAAUUACUGGGCGUAAAGCGCACGUAGGCGGACUCUUAAGUCGGUGGUGAAAUCCUGGAGCUCAACUCCAGAACUGCCUUCGAUACUGGGAGUCUUGAGUUCGGGAGAGGUGAGUGGAACUGCGAGUGUAGAGGUGAAAUUCGUAGACAUUCGCAAGAACACCAGUGGCGAAGGCGGCUCACUGGCCCGAUACUGACGCUGAGGUGCGAAAGCGUGGGGAGCAAACA
rnacentral:rRNA from 1 species